CCUACGGGUGGCAGCAGUGGGGAAUAUUGCACAAUGGGGGAAACCCUGAUGCAGCGACGCCGCGUGAGUGAAGAAGUAAUUCGUUAUGUAAAGCCCUAUCAGCAGGGAAGAAAAUGACGGUACCUGAGUAAGAAGCACCGGCUAACUACGGGCAAGCAGCCGCGGCAAUACGGGGGGGGCAGCCGUUAUCCGGAUUUACGGGGCGUAAAGGGAGCGUAGACGGCAGUGCAAGUCUGGAGUGAGAGGCGGGGGCUCAACCCCCGGACUGCUCUGGAAACUGUAGGGCUGGAGUGAAGGAGAGGUAAGUGGAAUUCCUGGUGUAGCGGUGAAAUGCGUAGAUAUUAGGAGGAACACCAGUGGCGAAGGCGGCUUACUGGACUGUAACUGACGUUGAGGCUCGAAAGCGUGGGGAGCGAACAGGAUUAGAUACCCUAGUAGUC
rnacentral:rRNA from 1 species